rnacentral:rRNA from 1 species
AGAAUCAACGCUGGCGGCGUGCCUAACACAUGCAAGUCGAACGAGAAAGGGGUAGCAAUACCCUGAGUAAAGUGGCGCACGGGUGAGUAACACGUGACUAACCUACCCUUGAGUGGGGGAUAACUGAGGGAAACCUUAGCUAAUACCGCAUAAUACCCACGGGUCAAAGGAGCGAUUCGCUCGAGGAGGGGGUCGCGGCCGAUUAGUUAGUUGGCGGGGUAAUGGCCCACCAAGACGAUGAUCGGUAU